AUUGAACGCUGGCGGCAGGCCUAACACAUGCAAGUCGAGCGGAUGAAGGGAGCUUGCUCCUGGAUUCAGCGGCGGACGGGUGAGUAAUGCCUAGGAAUCUGCCUGGUAGUGGUGGAUAACGUCCGGAAACGGGCGCUAAUACCGCAUACGUCCUGAGGGAGAAAGUGGGGGAUCUUCGGACCUCACGCUAUCAGAUGAGCCUAGGUCGGAUUAGCUAGUUGGUGGGGUAAAGGCCUACCAAGGCGACGAUCGGUAACUGGUCUGAGAGGGUGAUCGGACAAAGGGGGACGGAGAGACGGCGCAGACGGCGAAGGGAGGCAGCAGUGGGGAAGAUUGCACAAUGGGCGGAAGCGUGAGGCAGCAACGCAGAGUGCGGGAUGAAGGCCUGCGGUGAGGAAACCGCUGUCGCCUGGGAAGAAGCGUGAGUGACGGUAAGGGGUAAAGAAGCACAGGCUAACUACGUG
rnacentral:rRNA from 1 species